GGGAAGCCCUUUAAUUUUGACUUUUAAUUUAUUUUUCAUUUGGUUUUUAAUUUAUUUUUCAUUCAUUUUGAUCUUUAAUUUCAGCACGGUUUUGUAGCUUUAGCCUUAACACUUAUUUUGUUAAAGGUAUUCCUAAGUGUUUUAUUUUCAUUGCUCUUGUGAAUAGAAUUGUGUUCUUGAGAGCCUGUGUGCUUACACAUCAUUCUGUACUGUUGAGGGGAGAGGAGGCUCAAGGUUGAUUUCUUCAGUUCCCAGGUUGGGCGGUGGUGUGGAUAGUGAGGUCACAAUCUGAUGAAAAGAAUUCAGGAGACGGAGCAGGUGUAGGCUUGGUAAGGAAACGUGUAGAAUCUGAGGAAUAGGGGACGGACAGAUUGUGCUGUCUGAUGGGCAGCCGGGAAUUCCAGAGAGAUUUGGACUUGCUGGCAUGUAAGGAUCAAGUCAUAGGAGAGCACCUGCCUCGGGAAAAGAUGAGCUGAGGACGGGAGAGCCUGGGGGGUCACUGACAGUUAAGAGGUGCCCCAGGAAGAAGGUGUGAAGCACUCAGAGAGGCAGUCCUGGACUGGUUCCGCAGUACCCACGUGCCCGGUGAUUGAAGACGGAGCUUCGGAGUCAAACUGACUCGAGUUUGAAGUCGACAUCCACGGAGGCCACUCUUGUCGAUUCUGGGAAAUCGUGAAGUAGCAGGACGACAGCAUCCGUGUCCUCGGGGACCUGAUGUGAUCCAUUUCCUCCUCUUGUAGUAUGGAGAUUGUAGCGCUUAUUUCAUGGAGUUGUGAGGAUUAAAUGAGUUGACUUGUGCAAAGUAUCCAGCGUAGCGUCAUCACGCGGUGAACGUGAAACGUUACCUGUUGUCACACGACCCCACGGAGCUGGGCGUUAGAGACCAGGAGGGUGUGGACCCUGACUUCAUGGAGCUGAGAGUCUCGUGAGCAGCGCAGAGGCACACACGACACGACACGACACGACAUGACACGACACGUGGGGGGAGGGACGGCACAGGGCGAUGGGAGAGGAGGGGCCCUGGCUAGGGGGGCAGGGGUCCCAGGAAGGAGGAAAUGGUCGGCGGCCUCAGUGCAGCAGAAAGGCCCAUUGCCUUGACUGAAGAAACAAUUGGGGUUUGACAGUUUGGGGGUUGGUGCCGUCAUCUGCUGUCUCUCCUAGAGCCACGGCCAGGUUGGCACCCAUGGGCGGCGAUGCCGGUCUCUCCAGAGAAGGGUGGGUGGAGGGAGGGGCUGGGAGGGGUGGAUUUACACGGGGAAAUAAUGCCAGUUAGAGGGUAGUUCUGACCAUUCAACCACUCAAGGACCUCUACCAGCCAGCCUGUGGUUUUAUUCCAGUUUGUUACGUUCUGUAUUCACGGGGAUUAACCUUUCUGUAGUUCAGACUCUCCACUUUAAUUUGGAGGAAAAUCAGCAUAAUCUGAAGAUAAAGCAGACUGCGUCAAGAAAGCUCUCAUGUCCCGCCAGGGACAUCCUUGACUCUGGAGAGCAGUUCUCUGAGUUUUGCUGCCAUGUGCAGCGCACUAAGGAGGUGUGAUCUAGAAGUCGCCGUGCGCGGAUGGUGGAGAGGCUCACUGCUCUGAAAGCUAAGCACAAAUCAGCGACGAACCGUGGCUCCCAGAAAGCCCAGGCUUGAAUGCGGCUGUCAGCUCUGCCAAGAUCCCUGGGGUGGCUCCAGGCAGGUCACUGGGCCUCCCCAGGCCUGGUUUCUCUGAUCUGCAAACUCUGGGGGUCGGAAGGACAGUUUGAAAAGGGCUCUGCCUCAGACGCUAAGGGGAGGGUGCCCCGACCCCAGGUCUCUUUGUCUGCUUUGUGCAGGUACCAUGUCGGGUGCUAGGAAAACAGUGGUGAGCAAAGACCAGAUGGUCCCUGGCAUUACGGAGUGGACGGUCGUGUGGGGAAGACUGGCAUUCUUUGUUACCAGCAUAAAUGAAGACCCACAUCUGUGGCAGGGACCAGGAGGGAGGAGAACCCAGUGCGCUCGGGCCCCUGUGAUAACGACAAGCCCGAAGGUGAUGCUCGUGAGAAAUGAUGCGGCUUGAAUUGUACGGGCAACGAAGUCGGUGCGGUAAUGGGCCGAGGAAACCGGCUCAUGGCCGUGGGAGGUGAGGGGCCUUCGCAGGACAGCCUGGGAGCAGAGGACGCAGAGUAGCAAAUAUGGCACAGACAGUUCAAGUUGCUAACGUGAAGGCAGUCGUACAUUAUCAACCGUGUCUGUACCCACGAAUAAUACAUUCGCAGGACCACCUUUGGAAAGGCGGAUGACGACGGCCCUGGCCGUCUGCACUUUGCUGGAGUAGACUGGAGGCCCUCACACCUGCGCUGCAGUCUGAGCUUGCCACUUGUCAGCAGGUGAGCUUGGGCAAGUCACGUUCCCUUUCUGGGCUUCACUUUCUCAGCUCUAAAACGUGAGUGUUCGAGCUAGACAGGGUGGUGGAGAUGACCUCGGACAGCGGGUCUCAACCAGCGCUGUGAACGAGAGUCACUCGAGAAGCUGCCAGAAAUACUGAUGCUCAGUCCCCCCCAGACCAAUAAGUCAGAAUCUCCCUGGCUGGGGCCUAGGAAUUAGGAUUUUUUUAAAAAAAUAAACACACAGUCCAAUAUUUCAUGAUUCUAUAACCUGUGCCUCAGAACUGAACCAUGUGAUGCAAUUGUAUAGGAAUAAACUGCAAGAAGCCAGAGCCUUGGGCUUGAACUCUUGGUUGAGAAGCCAUGAGUGACCUGCCUCUCUUAACAAGCAAAGUGGACCAUGAAGAAAGGAGACGUCCUUCCCUUUCCACCUCUACGUCUUUAUUGUUCUAGCUCCCAUGUCAUUCUUCUGUUACUAUCCGGAGACACCUUAAAAUCAUGUGAGGGCAUUUCUAUCUAGAGGGUUUGAAUGGUGUGUGGAAAGAACUCAGGCUUGCAGCAAACUUGGAGAUGAGUCUUAGCUUUUCCACUAACCCUGCUGGACCUCAGCCUCUUGAGUAAAAUAGAGAAAAUGAGACCUUCCCUGCAGGGUCGCUCUGAAGAGGUACUGAGGUAAUGUACGUGUAAUACAGUGCCUGGGACAGAGAUGCUCCAUAAAUGUUAAAUGAUGAAUAGAAAUGUUUGUAUAGGGAAAGGGCUAAUAUCAUUUAUAUUUAAAGGGCUUGUUUUUCGCCUUGAGACUUGUGAAGUACCCCCAAGUGGAAUAUGGGCAAAGCAUAGUAAAAGAAAAUGUACAGAUAAGUACAAAGCGAUUAAACAUAUCCUCCAUCUCCACUAACUAGAGGAACUGAAAUUGAAGCAAUGAUUGACAAACAGUUGGCCAAAAGGAUGUCUGUGCCCUGCUGGUGGGAGGAAAAUGCAUCCCAAAUGUGCCACUUCCCAUGCUGUGUUAUCCAUACAGCAACACCACUUCCAAGAGCAGAAAUGCAUGUGGAUGUAAAGGGAUGUUUGUUUCACCAUUGUUUGUAAUAAAGAAGAACUGGAGGUAGCCUGAAUGUCCGUUAACAGAGGAUAGGUUAAAUUAGAGUGUAACCAUAUAAAAGGACGCUAACACUGUUCACCCUUUAAAAAUAUGGAGAUGGCCUGAUAUGUACUGACAUGGGAAGAUGUCUGAUUCAUUGCUCAGUGAACAAAGCUACAAACAGUAUUCACAUAGCCCUUGGUUGACUUUCCAGCUUCUGCCUCCCCAUCAGGCCAGCCUUGAAGCAGACAGCAUUGUGGUGUUGAAGGUCAUGCAUCGGGUGGGGUCGGGGGUCACUCACCAUAGGUUUGGGAGGGCCAGGGAAGUUCUAUGUACACGAGCUUCGAAGCCUUAAGGACAGACAGACGCUGAAGAAGGUUUUAGAACUGAUGGGCAGGCACCUGGGACGUAAGAAUGAGCCACGUUGAAGUAAGGCAGGGUGAUGAAGAGGGGUAAAGACCCCUAAAGAUGGGGGCAUGUCCCAGGUCGGUAGGGAUAAGAGGUGAGAGGGAGGCCGGGCAGAUACCUCCCACUUGGGUCACCGUUUAAAGGCUUUAGCCAAGAAUGAGACUGACAGGGCUUGCAAUGGAACUCAGCAAGUGUCCAUCCUCCAUGGAGAGGCCUUCAAACUGCCAAGCCCUCCCCUUAAACAGUCCUGCUCCUUCCCUUCCUGUUCUUUCAGCUGGGGAGUUGGCGGAAGAAGAAGGGGCAGGAAAUCAGAGAGGUCCCUGGGGCAGCCCUGAAAAGCAGCAGGUGGUCACAGGCCAGGAGCCCCGAGCCCAGAGCACUACUGGAAGCCACACCCUGAUUGUCUGAGGCUGGUGUGGCCUGGGGUGAAAGGGCACUUGUUUAUUUUCACAUCGAAGCUAAAGGUCAAGUGAUGCCCAACUGGUGGAAACUCGAUAAGUGGCUCGGCCAUGGUGCACACAUCAGCGUUUAAAGGCCACUGACUUCGUGUUUGAGUACCAGAUGAUAAAAUUAGAUUGCGUGGUUUGUAGAAAAUUAAGUUCUUUAGCUAAACCAGAUGCUAAGCUUCUGCCCAGAAUCAGUAUACUGUUAGAAGUCUGGAAACUAAUAAACAUACCGUAACUAUUAAUUUAUGGAUGGGUUGUUGGCAGAUAACUUCAGAGAAGGAAUCCAGGCUUGAAACAGCUCUUAUAACACCAGAUGGAGUGUGUGAGUUUAAUCGAGUCCCAAGAAGGGAUAUCUGUACAGUGCCUAAAAAAACAAAAACAAAAACAAAAAAAAAACACUGGGAUCUGAGUUAGGCCUGAGAUAAGCUGAGAGAAGCAGGGAAAACUAGAACCUAAUUGAAACUGAUACAAGAAAUUAAGAGCCAUGCAAAGAAAACCAGAUGUUCUUUUAUGAUGAAGUGCGUUGGAGGGAAGCAGGGACAACUUAACCCACCCAGAAUCCAGUCACCUGGCAGCUUCACCCGAGGACAGGAGGCCCGAAGGAACCGGGCUGACUAACCAACUAAUGUCCUACACGUAGAGUGGUAGAGCUGGAGCGCUGUGCUCUUGGGGAAACUCUCCGGAUGACAGACCACACCCAUUGGACUCAGGCCAGGCAAUUCCUGAAGCUCCCUUCAUCGUGUGAUGAACAGUUUCCAGAUGGAGAGACAAGCCCAGAGUUGUCCGGGGACAACUUGCCCAAGGUCUCACGACUGGGCAGGAACCAGACCUCACCUGUCCCUGCUGCUGAUCCACCCCAAAGCAGAUUGAAGACACAAAUCCAGAGGAGGAAGGUGGGCACUGCGGUGACCCCUGCCGUCAGCCGGACAGCCCUCACUCAGCCGGAGAGCGAGAGGAGGAUAAAGCCUAGUUACCUGAACAACCAACCAACCAACCCUGGUGCAGAUAUUCAAGAAAUGGCAAUAUGGGUGAAAGAGUCCAACAAAUCUGAAGUCUUCCCUGCAUCACUGUGUAGACUGGCCUGUGUAAUGAGGCCCCUGAAUCCCACAGCGUUACCGAAUGUCUGCUGUGUGCCCGUAAGUGUUUAUCAGAAUAAAGUCAUAUUUUGUUCACUACACAUCCAAUUAAAAAACAAAACUUCCUAGUUGAAGUCUUCAGUAACACUUGCUGGAUUCCUGCAGUAACAUUCUACUCAAAGACACAAUCUCAAAUCCUACCAUUAAAGCCCAGCUUGGACUAUGUCCUUUUCCUGCUUUAAAAACCUUCGGUGGCUCCCAAAGGCCAUCAGAUGACACAUCCAUCAUUCAGCCCCGCCUUCAAGGCUGCCUGUGACAUACACUGUGAACUUCCUUGCAACAGGGUUUUCCCGUGUGUGCUUUCUGGGGCCCCAGGGCCUCUAGAAUUGACUCAGGCCGUGGUGGGUUUGGAAGUCAUGAAGUUGGAUGUCGGCGUAAAAGUCAGGAAGGGGCUUUGCUGGCUGAGGCUCGCUAAAGAGGUACAGCAGGACUCAGCUUCGCUGGUGGCAGGUUUCAGUAGCUUAGUCAGUGUUCCAGGCUCCAUGGUGCCCGGCCCUGCAGUGGGGGCACCAUCUUCCACGGAGUCCACGAAGGAAGUCGCCCACCGGGCUGUCGGCAGAAUUACAAAGCCUGGUUUGCCUUUAUGUCCCUCACACCCUUCCUGUUGCUUUGUCCCCCUCCCGUACCUAGGACUCUUCCCACCUGGUAUCACUUCUCUUGAGAUCCUCAACGUCACAUUUAUAUUUAAAUAAAGGUGUCAGAUCCCAGUUAUGAGUCUACCCAGUGGCCUAGAGUUUUCCGAGGCCUCACUCUUCUUACAGUCCUAAGUUACGCAGAACGUUUGAGGAAAGGGUGAGUUUCAACUGGAGGUUGGGCUGUACCAUCCAUUACCAGGGUCACCGGUUCCUAAACUUCCAUGUGUGUGGAAAUCGCCUGGGGAGCUUGUUAAAAUGCAGAUUUGGUUCCGUGGGUUCCAGGAUCUCUAUUCCUUUUAAGCUCCUGGGCGAUGCCAAUGCUGCUAGACUGGGGAGCACGCUGUGAGUGACGAGGAUAAAGACCAGAUGUCCCUGGAGAGCCGUCCGGGAGAAGCUCAGGUUCCCAGGCUCCGUCACUCCCACGCCAGGGGCUCAGAGGCUGCCGCCUGGCGUAAACACAAGCCGUUUGCCUCGGGAGCUCAGGGGCAUACAUGAGGUAGUGGGGUGUCUGCUUUUCCACGUCUUCGCAGACCUCAGUUAUCUCACAGGCCUAGACCGUCAGAAGGCUCUCAUCUGGCUGUUGGAGAUGGUCCUUCUCAUCUCCAGAAGGCAGUUCAGCAAGUUCUCGAGGGAAAAGGGUAAAUGCUGCCUUCGGGGAUCUCCUGGAGCAGCUUCCAGCAAGCGGAGGAGGUGCCUGUGGACUUGUUCUCCUUAGCACCUCGUUUUUCUCCCUACUGUGUUUACAAACAGGCGGCUUAGCCGCAGGUCUUGGGUGGAUGACACCCACUCUCGUUCACUUCUGUGUAUGUUACUCUGGAGAGGGAAGAUAAUGCAGUUUAGCUAAGCCAAGCUGUAGGUUGGAAGUUAUAACCCACCUAAUUCCUUACAGAAGCUAUUGAUUAAGGCUGUGUCUCUGCCACCUGCUGUGCCUGGGCCUCCUGCCAUGUGGUUGAUGGCAACUCUGACAGCCCCGUCCCUGCAGAACCCAGAGCUCCUGCCACGUUUGUUUCCAGCAAGUCUUUAGUGUCUGCUCUCCUGCCUCCUCACCCCCCGCUUCCUUCUAAAGCAUGUUUUGAAGUCCACACUGAGACAGGUCACCCAACCCAUUUGUCAUGUGGUGGGGUUACAGACUGUGGAGUCUGCAGCAGACGUCAGCUGGGCCUUUGGAGGCCCGUCACCUCCCCAAAGAGAACACUCUUGUUGACCAUCUGGCACGGGGGCGAACACCUUUCUUGCCCAAGAGGUCCUAGGCUUCACUCCAGGGAGUGGCAUGAGGGUUAGAGCUCAGAGAGAAAGAAAAAAGUGGAGUCAGAGACCCAGGAAAUGAGGUCCCCGCGGAAGGUAAGAGCCUUUGUAAACGUGCCUUUGUUACCUGGAUGGAUGUUCAGUAAGCAUUUGUUGAAUGAAUGAGUGAAAA